UGCUCCCUGAAGUCAGCGGCGGACGGGUGAGUAACACGUGGGCAACCUGCCUGUAAGACUGGGAUAACUCCGGGAAACCGGGGCUAAUACCGGAUAAUUCUUUCCCUCACAUGAGGGAAAGCUGAAAGAUGGUUUCGGCUAUCACUUACAGAUGGGCCCGCGGCGCAUUAGCUAGUUGGUGAGGUAACGGCUCACCAAGGCAACGAUGCGUAGCCGACCUGAGAGGGUGAUCGGCCACACUGGGACUGAGACACGGCCCAGACUCCUACGGGAGGCAGCAGUAGGGAAUCUUCCGCAAUGGACGAAAGUCUGACGGAGCAACGCCGCGUGAGUGAUGAAGGUUUUCGGAUCGUAAAACUCUGUUGUUAGGGAAGAACAAGUACCGGAGUAACUGCCGGUACCUUGACGGUACCUAACCAGAAAGCCACGGCUAACUACGUGCCAGCAGCCGCGGUAAUACGUAGGUGGCAAGCGUUGUCCGGAAUUAUUGGGCGUAAAGCGCGCGCAGGCGGUUCCUUAAGUCUGAUGUGAAAGCCCCCGGCUCAACCGGGGAGGGUCAUUGGAAACUGGGGAACUUGAGUGCAGAAGAGAAGAGUGGAAUUCCACGUGUAGCGGUGAAAUGCGUAGAGAUGUGGAGGAACACCAGUGGCGAAGGCGACUCUUUGGUCUGUAACUGACGCUGAGGCGCGAAAGCGUGGGGAGCAAACAGGAUUAGAUACCCUGGUAGUCCACGCCGUAAACGAUGAGUGCUAAGUGUUAGAGGGUUUCCGCCCUUUAGUGCUGCAGCAAACGCAUUAAGCACUCCGCCUGGGGAGUACGGCCGCAAGG
rnacentral:rRNA from 1 species